GAGCGGGUGUAGCAAUACACCAGCGGCAGACGGGAGAGUAACACGUGGGAACGUGCCCUUCAGUUCGGAACAACCCAGGGAAACUUGGGCUAAUACCGGAUACGUCCGUAAGGAGAAAGAUUUAUCGCUGAAGGAUCGGCCCGCGUCUGAUUAGCUUGUUGGUGAGGUAAUGGCUCACCAAGGCGACGAUCAGUAGCUGGUCUGAGAGGAUGAUCAGCCUCACUGGGACUGAGACACGGCCCAGACUCCUACGGGAGGCAGCAGUGGGGAAUAUUGGACAAUGGGCGCAAGCCUGAUCCAGCCAUGCCGCGUGGAUGAUGAAGGCCCUAGGGUUGUAAAGUCCUUUCGGCGGGGAAGAUAAUGACGGUACCCGCAGAAGAAGCCCCGGCUAACUUCGUG
rnacentral:rRNA from 1 species